CCUACGUGAGGCAGCAGUGGGGAAUAUUGGGCAAUGGGCGCAAGCCUGACCCAGCAACGCCGCGUGAAGGAAGAAGGCUUUCGGGUUGUAAACUCCUUUUCUCAGGGACGAAGCAAGUGACGGUACCUGAGGAAUCAGCCACGGCUAACUACGUGCCAGCAGCCGCGGUAAUACGUCGGUGGCAAGCGUUAUCCGGAUUUACUGGGUGUAAAGGGCGUGUAGGCGGGAAAGCAAGUCAGAUGUGAAAACCAUGGGCUCAACCUGUGGCCUGCAUUUGAAACUGUUUUUCUUGAGUACUGGAGAGGCAGACGGAAUUCCUAGUGUAGCGGUGAAAUGCGUAGAUAUUAGGAGGAACACCAGUGGCGAAGGCGGUCUGCUGGACAGCAACUGACGCUGAGGCGCGAAAGCGUGGGGAGCAAACAGGAUUAGAUACCCUAGUAGUC
rnacentral:rRNA from 1 species